rnacentral:lncRNA from 1 species
AAGCAUCAAUAGUAUAAGCUAAAAAAAGAAGUAUGUGAUAAGUAAAUAUAGCGAGUUUUCAAAUAUUGUACUAUCUGAUAAGAAGGAUUAGAGAUAAAUCUCCACACUAAUUUUCAUUCAUAGUUUAUGGUACAUAUAUACAGGUGUGAUGACUAUGUUUGUUACAUUCAAAACUGAAUAACAAAUCAUCAAAAACUGAAUAACAAUUCAAUGGAGUUGGUUGAGAUAUUUUCUCAAAAUAAGUUUGUCCUUAUCCAUUAUCUUUAACACCCUCCUGCAAGCUGAUCGGCAUAGGAAUGACGGUAAGCUUGGAACGUAGCAUUUUGAACNACUUAGACACUAGUAAUAAUAACUGGGCUUAAGCAUUUUGGGCCGGUGGUUGGGCCCAACGAGUUAUUAUUGCUAGUGGGCUGGGUCGUUACACCAAGUUCGGUUCGUGCCUUCUAGAUUAUAGCCGAAAUCUUUGCUUCUGCAGAUUGAUCAAAAAUUUCUUCUCUAUAGUGCUCUGUGAGUUAUUUUAUUUUAUUUUGAUCCUAAAUUUUGGUAUUAUUUGAUUUUUUUUUCUUACUUUACAUACCUAUCACCUAGUUCUAACUUCCAGAAAAUCUGAUACUAAUUAUAGCUCAUGAUAGCCAUUCGGAAAUUGAUAGUCAAGUAGCUGAUUGAAAUAUACUGAAAGUUCAUAUACGAUUUUAUUUUAUUAUUUAUUCAGAUAAAAGCUUUAAAAGUUUGCUAGUGAGUGUAAUUGGACCAAAGUUCAAGAGUUCGAUAUAAUUUUCCCACAAAUCAAUUCAUCAUAUCAUAACAUUUUUGGAGAGCCUGUAUGGCUCUCCUAUUUUGAAGAAAAAGUUGCUCUCCUUGGUCAAAAUUUCAUUUCUCUAAGCGCAAACACAGGGAACAAUGUUAAGAAGGAUUAGAGAUAAAUCUCCACACUGAUUUUCAUUCAUAGUUUAUGGUACAUAUAUACAGGUGUGAUGACUAUGUUUGUUACAUUCAAAACUGAAUAACAAAUCAUCAAAAACUGAAUAACAAUUCAAUAGAGUUGGUUGAGAUAUUUUUUCAAAACAGGUAGAAUAGGUUUGUCCUUAUCCAUUAUCUUUAACACCCUCCUG